rnacentral:misc_RNA from 1 species
UCUCCGUAGGUGAACCUGCGGAGGGAUCAUUACAGAGUUCAUGCCCUCACGGGUAGAUCUCCCACCCUGUGUUAUUAUACUUUGUUGCUUUGGCAGGCCGCCCGCGUGGGCUACCGGCUCCGGCUGGUAAGUGCCUGCCAGAGGACCCCAAACUCUGAAUAUUUUAUUGUCUGAGUACUAUAUAAUAGUUUAAAACUUUCAACAACGGAUCUCUUGGUUCUG